CAGCCGCCACGGUAAUACGUAGGGUGCAAGCGUUAAUCGGAAUUACUGGGCGUAAAGCGUGCGCAGGCGGUUUGUUAAGACAGAUGUGAAAUCCCCGGGCUCAACCUGGGAACUGCAUUUGUGACUGGCAAGCUAGAGUGUGGCAGAGGGGGGUGGAAUUCCGCGUGUAGCAGUGAAAUGCGUAGAUAUGCGGAGGAACACCGAUGGCGAAGGCAGCCCCCUGGGCCAACACUGACGCUCAUGCACGAAAGCGUGGGGAGCAAACAGGAUUAGAGACCCGCGUAGUCCCUGUCUCUUAUAC
rnacentral:rRNA from 1 species